rnacentral:rRNA from 1 species
UACGUAGGGGGCAAGCGUUGUCCGGAUUUAUUGGGCGUAAAGAGCUCGUAGGCGGUUUGUCGCGUCGUCUGUGAAAACCCACGGCUCAACUGUGGGCUUGCAGUCGAUACGGGCAGGCUAGAGUUCGGUAGGGGAGACUGGAAUUCCUGGUGUAGCGGUGAAAUGCGCAGAUAUCAGGAGGAACACCGGUGGCGAAGGCGGGUCUCUGGGCCGAUACUGACGCUGAGGAGCGAAAGCGUGGGGAGCGAACAGG